UGCUCUGUUAGUAAGUUUCAAGUGUUUGAUGAUUAUAUUUAAAAUAAAAAGUGUACAGUGAGAUGUGUGUUUUAUGACAAAGGAUGUGUUUUUAAACAUGGAUCACUUCAUACGGCAGCGAUAUAAAAGGGCGGGACGACGGGGCUCCGCGGAGUCGAAUUGUUCGCAGCCGUCGUCGGAGCUGUCGCUGGACGAUGACAAGGAGGCGCUGCGCAGAGAAAAGGAAGCGCAGGCUCUCUCACAGCUGGAUAAGGCGAGGUCAAAGCCGGUCGCGUUCGCCGUCCGCACGAACGUCGCUUACGACGCGAAGAUCGACGACGACUCGCCCGUGCACGGCACCGCCAUCUCCUUCGACGUUCGAGACUUCCUGCACAUUAAGGAGAAAUACGACAACAACUGGUGGAUCGGUCGGCUCGUGGCGGAGAACUCUGACAUAGGGUUCAUCCCGUCCCCCGUGAAGCUGGAGAUGGUGCGCGCGGGGCUGGCCGCCAGGGGCCGCUCCGCGCUCGCCGCCCACCCCCACUCCCGAGGUAGCACUCCCCCCACGCCCGAUGUACCCUCCUUCGAUCGAGGUGACGAGUCCGACUCGGCGGGCAGGGGGCGCGGGGCGGGCGCGCUGCCCGCUGGCAAGGAAAAGAAGAAGCCAUUCUUCAAGAAGCAGGAGGCCUGCACUCCGUACGACGUGGUGCCCUCGAUGAGGCCGGUCGUCCUCGUGGGACCCUCGCUCAAAGGAUACGAAGUCACGGACAUGAUGCAGAAGGCGCUUUUUGAUUUCUUAAAAAGGCGCUUCGAAGGACGGAUAAUAAUAACGAGGGUGAUGGCGGACAUAUCGCUGGCGAAGCGUUCGCUGCUCAACAACCCCUCCAAAAGGGCCAUCAUGGAGCGCUCCAACUCGCGCUCCACCUGCCUGGCCGAGGUGCAGGCUGAAAUCGAGAGGAUAUUCGACCUGGCGCGGACCCUGCAGCUGGUGGUGCUGGACUGCGACACCAUCAACCACCCGUCGCAGCUGGCCAAGACCUCACUAGCGCCCACCAUUGUCUACUUAAAGAUCACCAGCCCCAAGGUGUUGCAGCGAUUGAUCAAGUCCCGGGGCAAGGGCCAGACCAAGAACCUGUCCGUGCAAAUGGUGGCGGCCGAGAAGCUGUCGCAGUGUCCCAAGGAGAUGUUCGACCUCGUGCUGGACGAGAACCAGCUGGAGGACGCCUGCGACCGCAUCGCAGAGCAUCUGGAGAAGUACUGGCGCGCCACGCACCCCCCCGCCGCCGCCCCGCUGGCGCCGCCCGCCGCCCCCCGCGCGCACCUCGCCCCCCUGCCCCACCUCGCGCACCUCGCGCACGCCCAGCCCGUACAAGCGUCUGGUCAAGCUCAUUAACCAUCGCCCCGGGGACCUUAGAUCCUUCUCAUAAGUCAGGGACGCCGGCAGAUACCACAGGUUUAACAUUACUGGCCGCGCAUUGCAGAGGCUUGUGGAAUGUACGCUUAUACUAACUAACCUUGACCCCUCUUACAUCCGCCUGUCAGGGCCGCACUUUGGUUGUAAUGGAAUGGAAAUGUUUUAUUAACUUUUUUGAGUCUCAUUGACAUUGUUUGAUGCCUCAAUCCUCACAAUGAGAGGACUUAAUAUUUGUUUCGACUGUCUCACUUCCAUUUUUUCUUUAACAUCAAUCUAAACUAGUUCUAAUUGCCAUUCGCCAAGAUCGUUUUCACAAGUCAGACGGGCUUCAGACGCGGUCUGACGUAGAAGUUUUCCACAGGAGUGCGCUCCCCUCCCCCCUCGGCGGAGGUGGUCCUUCCUUGUCCGGGGAUAAUCCGCAACUCCGGGGAGGUCACGUUGCAGUAGUCAACUACUGUGUUAUAGGUCUAAGUGACAGCGGGCGAGCCCGCGGGCCGCGCCCCGAGCGGCUGGAGGAGGAGUACUACGGGCGGGAGCGGUACGCGCGCGAGUACGAGUACGGACACGACUACACGCGCCGCGACCCCGACGCC
rnacentral:misc_RNA from 1 species